AGUGAACGCUGGCGGUAGGCCUAACACAUGCAAGUCGAACGGCAGCACAGUAAGAGCUUGCUCUUACGGGUGGCGAGUGGCGGACGGGUGCGGAAUACAUCGGAAUCUACUUUUUCGUGGGGGCUAACGUAGGGACACUUACGCUAAUACCGCAUACGACCUACGGGUGAAAGCAGGGGAUCUUCGGACCUUGCGCGAUUGAAUGAGCCGAUGUCGGAUUAGCUAGUUGGCGGGGUAAAGGCCCACCAAGGCGACGAUCCGUAGCUGGUCUGAGAGGAUGAUCAGCCACACUGGAACUGAGACACGGUCCAGACUCCUACGGGAGGCAGCAGUGGGGAAUAUUGGACAAUGGGCGCAAGCCUGAUCCAGCCAUACCGCGUGGGUGAAGAAGGCCUUCGGGUUGUAAAGCACUUUUGGUGGGAAAGAAAAGCAGCAGGUUAAUACCCCGCUGUUCUGACGGUACCAAAAGAAUAAGCACCGGCUAACUUCGUG
rnacentral:rRNA from 1 species